UUUUUAAGGAAUUUAAAUGUACGCGUAUCAUAACGCCUUGUAGGAAUUUUCUGUACAAAAAUCGUUUAAAGUUAUAUGGGGUUGUCGUAAGAAAAAUAACGUGACCUGACGAAAUUUGCAGAAUUAAUAGAUAUAUUUAUUAAUGGAACACGUAGAUGCGAUUUGAGCAUCCCCCACGACUGAAAGAUUAAUCUUUUCGCUCUGGAUACGUCAUAGAGGAACAAUCGAAAGUAUAAAAUAUAAAGCUACAAAUUGUUAAGCUUUAUAAUUAUCAGAACGACAUAUGAAUCGUUAUGUAUCUUCCGCUUGUCAAAUUUAUUAUACGAGGAGCAUUAUACUAACUAUGUUAACCAAUAGGUGAAUAACUGUAUCCAAAAUCCAUACGACUCGUUUUAAAAUUUGGAAAACGACAUAGUUGUUGAAGCACAUCGAAUAAAAAUGUUGCCGUGCAAGGUAACAUGAAAGACAACGUGCAUACGAGCAUUGUUUAUAAUCUUGGAUUGCAUGAAAAUAUAAUAUUGUAGCGCUGGAUGAUUACGUUACGGUUUUCUCGUUAUAAUUUUCAUGAAAUUAUGAAUUUGCAUGAAGAUCAACAGUCUGUUCAUUAGUGCUAUUAACAGGAGAUAAUUAAUGAGGAACACGGAAUAUUUCUAGUAUUUUAGUUUCGUGUUUGAUGAAUCUUCCUUUUUUGGAUACAAGACUUGACGAGUUAAAAGUGUUUCUCUUAUUUUACUCUUUUAUGUGAUUCUUGACUCUGAAAAUGGAACACUUGUAGUACACUAUGCAGUGAAAUGGUGAUAAUUAAUUAACAGUUUUUACUAAUAAAGUUAGAAUAUGGCAAAAAACUAUGACAAAUGAAAAUGCUAUGACAAUCGCGGUUUACCUCUGUUGUACGAAUGUUAGUUUGUUUGUUCUCUUUAUUAGGAAAAGUUCAGUUAUAAUUUAA